UUUAAUCACUGGUGUGGCAGGAGGAGGAUGGGACAGGCUGGCAGCUGAAGGUUGCCCCUGCUGGAGUGCUGCAGGGUGGAAGAAGGGGGUGAAAACCAGCAGAUGCCUGAAGCAAGAGAAAAUGAGGAAAAAGUUGUUUAUGGUUUGGACUUGCAAGGAUCGUUUUGGAAAAGCUGAAAUGCUGCUGCUGGAUGGAAGAGGGAUGCAGUGUUUGCCCUUCAUGCUGCUGCUUAUCACUCAGCCCAGGCCCCAGGAAUUUGCAGGCACGCAGAGACAUUCAGAGUGAUGCUUCCCUUUCAUUACUCAGGGAAAGAGGCUGAAGGCAUGGUAGGGAGGUGAUGAGGGAGAUCCUCAGAGCAUGGUUGCAGUGAUUGUUGCAAGACUGUUGAAUCAAAAGGACCUAGAAAACAUUAAAACACUCAAGAAAGUAUACUGUGUCCUUGGGGAAACUGAGGCAUGGGAUGUUUCAGUCCCAAAAGCACCCACAAAGGUGACAUUUUGGGGAAGCCUGUCCUCAAAAGCUUGAUAUUUAAGAGGAAACACAAGUUAUCACGGCUCCAGGUGAAAUAAAGGGUUCCUUUUGCGUUUGUCCCCAGCAAACCAAGCAACAGCACCUUUUGCAAGGUGUCUGCAUCAAACAGAGCACUGAAAUGGCCACUUUCAAAGGAGGAGAUGGGUGAGCUGGAGACAUGGCUCAUCCCCCAGCUUCAAUCUGGGUGUUUGAUGCUCUUCUCUGCAGCCUCCUUCCAUUUAUUCCUUGUUUAUAAAACUUCCCAGCUUUCAGGAAUGAAAUUCCAAUUUGAGGGUGUUUAUUAAUUGAGGACAUUGAUGGGUUGGGCUUUUUUCUCCUAUAAAACUUUUCCUGCAAGCAGUAUACUUUUCAAGCCAAAGAUUUUCACUCCAGUUGGGCACUUUUAGCUGCUUUUGAACUCACUAUUAAUGGCUCUCACUGAAGAAAUUAGAUGUUAAAGUGAGGGCAAAUGUUUCCAAAACAGAGAAAAAAUACCAAAUAAAACAUAAGGUUAUCAGAGUGAACGGUUUGGUUGGUGUGUGCCAAAAUACCAUUUGAAUUCAGCAGUUGCAGGAGUUUUCAGAGGAUUGGUUAACAUUCCCCAUCCGAGACAAUGUUUUUAUUCCCAAAUUGCCAGCAAACCCAAAAAAAUUCAUUUCCCUCUCCCUUUGUAAGUGAAUAUCCACUGGGGUAUUUGAUAGCUGUAAUUUACUCUUCGCGCUGUGUAAUUAGCCACCUCAAUCAAAUGGCAUCAUUUCUAUCUUUGCUCGAAGAAUAAACUAUUCCAUUGCAAAAACAAAUGCCUUUUCCUCGAGCAAAUCCCAUGGACAGGCUGAAAUUUCACAGCCAACUUCUGCUUUCAGCCCAUGCUCACGCUUGUCACAAGGUUUGAAAGCUUUUUCUGGGGGAAAAAAAAGGGAGAAAUGGGGCUGAAUAUUGACUCACAGCUCUUGCUCAUCACCCUGGAGCAGCAGCCUGCUCAGGGAGGUGGGAGGAUUUGAAUAUAUGUUGGUGAAUGGGGUUUUUUCCCCACUAUAAUGCAGGGUUUGGGGAUGCAUGGCACAGGAAAAGCGAAAUGAGCUGCAGGGUUAUCCAGAGGUUUCCUUUUACACCAGAAAGCAUCAAAAGCAGUGCAGAACAAUCUUUUUUUUCAGCAGAUAAAAUGGCCCUUAUUUCCAACAAAGAAUGAAAUCAUUCCACAAGAAGGUCAGGAACUGGGAAUCUCCAGCAUCCCAUUCUCCUCCCCUUCCCUGCACUUGGAGUUGUCUUCCUUAUCUGGGUGUAAAACCCUGCUCAGCCUCAUGUUAGAAUCUCUGCUUGCCUUAAAUUUUAGGAUGUAGCUAGAUACAGGUAUAGGCCUUGUAAUCUGGGCACAUUAUUUACCGGGAGCACUUGUCUGAAGCCGGUCUCAGGAGAUUCACUGGGUGCCAAGCUGGAGUUACAGCCUGCACACAAUAAAAAGGAGAGAAGGAAAAGAGGGAAAUUGCCUUAUAAAACCCACAAGGACUUUGGCUUUCUAUGUGUUCUUUGCUGGAGCUGUUAAACUCAAGGCUGCCUUCUGAGCCUGCUCAGUCCUUGUCUUGCUCCUGCCAGACUUGAGAGACGGAACUUUCCUUCCUUAUUCUUCUUAGCAUAGCAAUCUCUUGUUAACAUAAUAAGGUUAAUUCUCGGGCUGCAAUCAGCAAGCCACACUCUCUCCAAGCCAUACAGAAUAUCCUUUCCUUGCCACAUUU